GACCAAGGAGUCUAGCAUGUGCGCGAGUCAUUGGGAUUAAUUAAACCUAAAGGCGCAAUGAAAGUAAAGGUUCGCCUUGCGCGAACCUAGGGAGGAUGGGCGCGUCGCCGUACGCGCCCCGCACUCCCGGGGCGUCUCGUUCUCAUUGCGAGAAGAGGCGCACCUAGAGCGUACACGCUGGG
rnacentral:rRNA from 1 species